ACAAGCGGUGAGCAUGUGGUUUAAUUCGAAGCAACGCGAAGAACCUUACCAGGUCUUGACAUCCCGAUGCUAUUUCUAGAGAUAGAAAGUUACUUCGGUACAUCGGUGACAGGUGGUGCAUGGUUGUCGUCAGCUCGUGUCGUGAGAUGUUGGGUUAAGUCCCGCAACGAGCGCAACCCCUAUUGUUAGUUGCCAUCAUUCAGUUGGGCACUCUAGCGAGACUGCCGGUAAUAAACCGGAGGAAGUGGGGAUGACGUCAAAUCAUCAUGCCCCUUAUGACCUGGGCUACACACGUGCUACAAUGGUUGGUACAACGAGUUGCGAGUCGGUGACGGCGAGCUAAUCUCUUAAAGCCAAUCUCAGUUCGGAUUGUAGGCUGCAACUCGCCUACAUGAAGUCGGAAUCGCUAGUAAUCGCGGAUCAGCACGCCGCGGUGAAUACGUUCCCGGGCCUU
rnacentral:rRNA from 1 species